AAAAGGCCUCCUUGACUCCACUCUGCAGUGUCGUCCCCUCAUCAAAUUCAAUGACAUCCACCGCUCAAGAUGACAGUCCUCGUCCAAUGAGGUCCUCUGAUCUUGCAGUGGGUAUUCCUCCUCAGUAGACAAGGCAAAGAUGUGCUCCCCUCAAA